CCCUUAGAUGUUCUGGGCCGCACGCGCGCUACACUGACGAAUGCAACGAGCUUAUAACCUUGGCCGAAAGGUCUGGGUAAUCUCCAAAUUUCGUCGUGAUGGGGAUAGAUUAUUGCAAUUAUUAAUCUUCAACGAGGAAUGCCUAGUAAGCGCAAGUCAUCAGCUUGCGUUGAUUACGUCCCUGCCCUUUGUACACACCGCCCGUCACUCCUACCGAUUGAAUGGUCCGGUGAAGCGUUCGGACCGUGGCCUUUGGACGGUUCGCCGUCUGUUGGCUGCGGGAAGUUCGUUAAACCUUAUCAUUUAGAGGAAGGAGAAGUCGUAACA
rnacentral:rRNA from 1 species